rnacentral:lncRNA from 1 species
GAUUUUUUGACAACUAUGCAACUAUGAACAUCAAAUGGCUAACUAAAAUAAUUUGAUAGUUACAUGAAUAUGUAUUUUUCUUUUCCUUGUUUUAUGUCUCCUCUGAAUAUCUAGUCUUUUUCCUUUUUUUCCUUUUUUUUUUUUUUUUGCCAAGUGGGGAAUUUGCUUUAAAUAAGAAAAAAAAAAUAGAAAAAAGAGAAAGAAAAAAGAAAAAGAAAACUAAAUUAUCUGCUUUCCCUCAGAAAAAUGCUCCUGCCAAAGGAGCUGUGAAUAAAAGCCAGCUUUCACUGCCUUCUCGAGCAUCUUCCAUGCUUUCUGACUCCACCAGAUCUGUUUCACAGAUGCCUUCCUUGACUGAGAAGAAGACUGAGAUCUGCAGUUGUAGGCUUUUAUUGCACCUAAGUAAUCCAAAGAAAACCAUAUUGUUGUUUUCCUCCUGCUGACUCCUAGUGUUGUGAGCUCUAAAAAUUUAACCAAGGAUAUUCCAGUACAUUAUGUUUUUCUUAAAAUCCCUGUUCCUGAAGAAACAUAGUUUUAUGUUUUCAGGCAGGAGCAUCCCAUACCUACCUGAAGCACUCAACUUGCAUUCAAACCCUAAAACUUAGGCAGACAGGAUCUCCCUCUACAGGCCUCCACGUACAUUUCCUUCUACCCCUUGAUGCCAAAGGCAUCCUAGAGCACUGUCCCAGUGUAGUCAAAAUGAAGCCACAGGAUGGCUGGCCUGGGUACCCUAUGAAGUUUCUGGUUUAUGGAUGUACAUCCCUCAUGCCUGAAAUUUGAAAGGCGAAAGACAAAUAAUUAGAUGUUUUAUGACUUGCCGAGUCAUGAUUUUGGAGACAUCCUUGUAAUUUUUGGGAUCUGUUUAUUGAAUAUCCGUAAGCACUGCACAAGCCCUUGCAUAUAAAUAUUCCAGCUCUCAAGUAUACCACAUCAUGUCUCCUUCUGUCUAAAUCAAGCCCGAGCAGCUUCCUUCUCCUGAUGGCAUUAGCGACAAGCCCACAAGAGGUUGUCUGAGAGGCUGUUGAGAACAGCAAGGGCUGCAUGCGUGCAUCGUUGCACACUUCAGGCUUUUAAGCUAAAAGGGAAUUCCUUGUGUUUGGACAAGCUGUAGUGGUUGAUGUUUACAGCUCCCACUGUGUGAAGAAGGAAACUGAGGGUUAAAUACAGAGGAAUUUUCUUUUGUAACCUCAGUGUUGAUG